rnacentral:rRNA from 1 species
GACGAACGCUGGCGGCGUGCUUAACACAUGCAAGUCGAACGGAAAGGCCCUGCUUUUGUGGGGGGCUCGAGUGGCGAACGGGUGAGUAACACGUGAGUAACCUGCCCUUGACUUUGGGAUAACUUCAGGAAACUGGGGCUAAUACCGGAUAGGAGCUCCUGCUGCAUGGUGGGGGUUGGAAAGUUUCGGCGGUUGGGGAUGGACUCGCGGCUUAUCAGCUGGUUGGUGGGGUAGUGGCUUACCAAGGCAUUGACGGGUAGCCGGCCUGAGAGGGUGACCGGCCCCAUUGGGACUGAGCUACGGCACAGACUCCUACGGGACGCAGCAGUGGGGUAUAUUGCAUAAUGGGCGGAAGCCUGAUGCAGCAACGCCGCGUGCGGGAUGACGGGCUUCGGGUUGUAAACCGCUUUCGCCUGUGACGAAGCGUGAGUGACGGUAAUGGGUAAAGAAGCACCGGCUAACUACGUG